rnacentral:rRNA from 1 species
UACAGAGGGUGCGAGCGUUAAUCGGAAUUACUGGGCGUAAAGGGUGCGUAGGUGGUUAAUUAAGUUAGAUGUGAAAUCCCUGGGCUUAACCUAGGAAUUGCAUUUAAUACUGGUUGACUAGAGUGUGGUAGAGGGAAGUGGAAUUUCCGGUGUAGCGGUGAAAUGCGUAGAUAUCGGAAGGAACAUCAGUGGCGAAGGCGACUUCCUGGACCACUACUGACACUGAGGCACGAAAGCGUGGGGAGCGAACAGG